GAUCAGGGUAAGUCGGGUCCUAAGGCUCAGCCGAACGGCGAGGCCGAUGGCAGACACGGUUAAUAUUCCGUGACCCUCUGCUGGAGCGACGUGGAGACGGAGCAGUGACACCACCGCGCCCUGACGGAAUAGGGCGUUGAAGGCCGUAGGUGCUGACGGAGGCAGGCAAAUCCACCUCCAGAGCUGAAAGCCGACAGUACGCUUCCUCCUUCGGGAGGCGGCGACAGCGUGGGUAACCAUACUUCCUAGAAAAUCCGCUAAGCAUAUCCAUCUGAGGCCCGUACCGCAAUCCGACACAGGUAGACGGGUAGAACAUACUGAGGCGUUGGGAGAUUCAUGGCUAAGGAACUAGGCAAACUGACCCCGUAACUUCGGGAUAAGGGGUCCUCACGGCAACGUGAGGCGCAGAGAAUAGGCCCAGGCAACUGUUUAACAAAAACACAGGGCUGUGCAAACUCGAAAGAUGAUGUAUACAGCCUGACACCUGCCCGGUGCCGGAAGGUUAAGAGGAGGAGUCAGCCCCUUGUGGGUGAAGCCCCGAGUUGAAGCCCCGGUAAACGGCGGCCGUAACUAUAACGGUCCUAAGGUAGCGAAAUUCCUUGUCGGGUAAGUUCCGACCUGCACGAAUGGUGUAAUGAUCCGGACGCUGUCUCAACCAUGAGCUCAGUGAAAUUGUAGUAUCGGUGAAGAUGCCGAUUACCCGCGAUGGGACGAAAAGACCCCGUGAACCUUUACUACAGCUUAGCGCUGACCUUGGUCAUCCGAUGUGUAGGAUAGGCCGGAGGCUUCGAAGCGGGGACGCCAGUCUUCGUGGAGCCGCCCUUGAAAUACGGCCCUUUGGCUGUCCGAGGUCUAACGCGCGUUUUGCGCGGACACCGCUUGGCGGGUAGUUUGACUGGGGUGGUCGCCUCCAAAAGUGUAACGGAGGCUUCCAAAGGUGCCCUCAGGCCGAUUGGUAACCGGCCUCUAGAGUGCAAUGGCAUAAGGGCGCUUGACUGGGAGGGAGACAUCCCGAGCAGGCAGGAAACUGGGGCAUAGUGAUCCGGCGGACGCGUAUGGAAGCUCCGUCGCUCAAAGGAUAAAAGGUACUCCGGGGAUAACAGGCUGAUCCCCCCCA
rnacentral:rRNA from 1 species